AGAACAUUCAAGGAAGAUGGAAAACUGUUUUCUUUUACAUUUUCAGUGUCAUAAUCUAGAUGUGCUUGUUGGGGUCUUAAGCCUGAGGCUGGCCCCUAACCAGCAGGGGACAGUACAAGCACUCCCUGACAAGGCGAAUGGGAGAGGUCAGGUCGACGGGGCAAGCACACCACAGCAAGCACCGGUUUUGAAAAACUCAAACAUCAGUGUGAUGCUUACAACACGCCGACCUGGUGCUGUACCAUGAAGGAUAAAAAGCUACAUUAUAAACAUGUUGCAUCCUCUUGUAUGUAGUGUCAUUUACUCAAUAACAAGAAAUUUGAAUAAUCAUAUCUACGUUAUUCUCAUUCACUUUUUCUUUUUUUUGAAGGUUUUUAUUUAAAGAAUACAAAUUUCAUAUGUACAGCUUUUAGGGAGAUAGUGUUUCUUCCCCCCAUUCCUGCCCUCCCACUCACACUCCCAUCCCACCUCCCACUACCUCUCCUGUUCCAUUUUCCACCAAGAUUCAUUUUUAAUUGACUUUAUAUACAGAAGACCAACUCUUUACUAAGGAGAGAUUUCAACUAUUUGCAGCCACACAGACAUAUAAAGUAUAAAGUACACCCUGAAGACAAGUUUUACCAUUAAUUCUCAUAAUACAACUCAUUAAGGACAGAGGUCCAAGUGCACAGUGAGUCCUGUUGUUCUCAUUCACUUUUAAAAUAAAUCUAGAAUAUUUUUUGAUAGCACAUCUUAGAGCUUUGUUUUAAUUCACCUAUAAUAAUGCUUGAGAAGAAUUAUACUAUUCAAGUUCUCCAUUCUGGCAAACCAUGCCGACUUUCCCUAAUUCUCUUGGUGGUCCCCACUCACCAGUGACAAUCCCUGGCUCUCCUUAGCACGAUGAGUCACCGUACACGAUCUGACUGAAAAAGGUGGCAGGUUCUUUCAGCCCCUCUAGCGUGCCAGAUUCAUGUAAAUAUCUCAGAUCCAUUUGAUAUGACCAUUUCAGAUUAACUACUGAACCAGCAGCUGCCAUUGUAGGGGUGCCAGAUUAUGUCUCCUAAUUAUUACCUUUCCUCCUCUUAAGGGGGUUUACUUCUAAUUCCAGUUUCCAUCUUGCAUGCUGUUUAUUAUUGUCAUGUUUUACUUCUGGAUUAUAGUUCUAUAUUUUAUUAUUCCUUCAUCACUUAUCUUUCAAGGAGAUUUAAAUAUGUGAAUAGGAUGUCAUUUAUGUUUAUAAUUAACAUUUCUGAAGCUCUUUGUGCUUUAUGUAGAUCAAAGAUUCUUUGGAACCAUUUUUCUUUCUCCUGAAGAGUUGUUAAACCAAAUGAACCAGGCCUAGAUGGCGGAAUAGUGAGGGCGCGCACCGAUAGUCCGGGAAAAUUUAGUUUAAUAAAAGGGGAGUUACGGUAGCCGCAGAAAAUAGAACCAAACAAAAAUUGCAGGGGAAACCCUUGUGGAUGGAGCAGGCGUGAAUCGGAGGACCUACUGGGAGAACAAGGUCGCCCACCGCGCGGAAGCCAAGUUGCGGGACCCAGCCGCAGAAGCCCCAGGGUCUGCGCGACAGUGCUCCAAGGGGAGUGCAUGCCACACAGACAACAGCGGGGAGACUUGGGACGCUCAGGGCUCCGAGUCCACACAUCGGCGCUGGAAGGGGAGGUGAGCUCAAUAACCCGAGACAUUGGUGGGGAAACGGGGGUCAGAAUCUAGAGGGGGGCCGGAAAGUGCAGCAAACUCACUACCAGAAAGAAGGAAAAAAAAAAGCUUCGGGGUUUCUCUUCCCCCUAACCUUGCAAAGGUUACAAGGCUGCAAGGCUUGAAGAAUUCCAAAGAGACAAAGAGCAGGCCUCCUCUUUGGAUUUACAUAUCAAUGGGGGAGAGUUAAGGAACUGAGUCACUACAAUUCAGUAGCCUAGGCAACCCAGUGGGAGUCCAGAGGAGCCAAAGACUGGAAGCUAAAUACCAUCAAUUUUGCACAGCCCUGCCCUGCUGUGUUACUUACCCCCUGAAUAAAUAAAAUAAAUAAAUAAAUAAAAAGAGAGAGAUUUACCACGCAUAACCUGAGGGUGUCACCUUUGCACACCCUUAACCAGGAAGAACCAGGCAGAGCUCUCAGGCCGCACCCAUCUCAAGCCUCCAAGGCUCCUCCAACAGCAGGCAGUCCACUUAACACGGACACAGUAUAAAAAAAAAAAAAGAAAAAAAAAACGCACAGUGACGCAAGAAGAAUUAACUAUGCCGAGUAACAAACACAGAAAUAGAGGCAGCAAGAUCAACGAUGACACUAUGAUGCCUCCAAAUAAGCAAAACACCCCAAGCCAAGAGUAUGAAGAUGAUGAGAUAGAAGAAAUGCAAGAUACGGAUUUCAAAAAAUUUAUGAUAAGAACAUUUAGAAGUUUUCAAAAGCAAAUCCUUGAACUACAGAAAUCCUUAAUGGACAAGAUUGAAAAUCUCUCUCGUGAAAAUGAAAUUUUAAGGAAGAGUCAAAAUGAAACUCAGAAACUAGUAGAACAGGAAAGCGUAAUAGUCAAGAGAAAUCAAAAUGAAAUGAAGAGCUCAAUAGAUCAAAUGACAAACACAUUAGAAAGCCUUAAAAACAGAAUGGUUGAAGCAGAAGAGAGAAUAUCGGACUUAGAAGAUAGAGCACAGGAAAACAUACAGUCAAACCAAAGAAAAGAAGAGGAAAUUAGAAAUCUAAAAAAUAUUGUUGGGAAUCUACAGGAUACUAUUAAAAAAACCAACAUUCGGGUUCUAGGAGUUCCUGAAGGCAUGGAGAGAGAGAAAGGAUUGGAAGGCCUUUUUAGUGAGAUACUAGCAGAGAACUUUCCAGGUUUGGAGAAGGACAGAGAUAUCCUAGUACAGGAAGCUCAUAGAACCCCCAAUAAACAUGACCAAAAGAGAUCCUCACCACGACACGUGGUAAUUAAACUUACCACAGUGAAACAUAAAGAAAAGAUCCUAAAAUGUGCAAGAGAGAAACAUCAGAUUACUCUCAGAGGAUCUCCAAUCAGACUCACAGCUGACUUCUCAUCAGAAACCCUACAAGCUAGGAGGGAAUGGCGAGACAUAGCACAGGUGCUAAGAGAGAAAAAUUGCCAGCCCAGAAUAUUAUAUCCUGCAAAGCUCUCAUUUGUGAAUGAAGGUGAAAUAAAGACCUUUCAUAGCAAACAGAAAUUGAAAGACUUUGUGGCCACUCGUCCGGCCCUGCAAAAGAUACUUAAAGAUGUGCUACACUCAGAAAACAGAAACACGGCCAUCAAUAUGAAAGAAGGGAAAGGAAGAACACCUACCAGUAAAAGAGCAUGGGAAGCUCAAAGCAUAUACUAGAAAAUAUUUCCGGGAAAAUGGCAGGGCAAAGUCACUAUGUAUCGAUAGUCACAUUGAACAUUAAUGGUCUGAAUUCUUCAGUUAAAAGACACCGUUUGGCUGACUGGCUCACAGAACACAACCCAACUAUUUGUUGCCUACAAGAAACACAUCUCUCUAACAAAGAGGCAUGCAGACUGAAAGUGAAAGGUUGGAAAAAGAUAUUCCAUGCCAACAGAAACCAAAAAAAAGCAGGUGUAGCCAUAUUAAUAUCAGACAAAAUAAACUUUAAUACAAAAACUGUUAAGAGAGACAAAGAGGGACACUAUAUAAUGAUUAAGGGUUCAAUUCAACAGGAAGAUGUAACUAUUAUAAAUGUAUAUGCACCUAAUUACAGGGCACCGGUCUAUUUAAAAGAUAUGUUAAGGGACUUAAAGGGAGAUUUAGAUUCCAAUACAAUAGUACUGGGGGACUUCAAUACUCCACUCUCAGAAAUAGACAGAUCAUCCGGACAGAAGAUCAACAAGGAAACAGCAGAUUUAA